AGAACGAACGCUGGCGGCAGGCUUAACACAUGCAAGUCGAGCGCCUCGCAAGAGGAGCGGCAGACGGGUGAGUAACACGUGGGAACGUGCCCAAAGGUACGGAACAACUCCGGGAAACUGGAGCUAAUACCGUAUGUGCCCGAAAGGGGAAAGAUUUAUCGCCUUUGGAUCGGCCCGCGUCUGAUUAGCUAGUUGGUGGGGUAAUGGCCUACCAAGGCGACGAUCAGUAGCUGGUCUGAGAGGAUGGCCAGCCACACUGGGACUGAGACACGGCCCAGACUCCUACGGGAGGCAGCAGUGGGGAAUAUUGGACAAUGGGCGCAAGCCUGAUCCAGCCAUGCCGCGUGAGUGAUGAAGGCCUUAGGGUUGUAAAGCUCUUUCGCCAGGGACGAUAAUGACGGUACCUGGAUAAGAAGCCCCGGCUAACUUCGCGCCAGCAGCCGC
rnacentral:rRNA from 1 species